AGUAUCAACCAAGAAGGAAUCAAAUAUUACAACAACCUCAUCAAUGAGCUACUCGAUAAUGGUCUAGUACCAUUUGUAACCCUUUUCCAUUGGGAUCUUCCCCAAGCCUUACAAGACGAGUACGAAGGUUUCUUGAGCCCCAAUAUCAUAAAUGAUUUUCAGGACUAU